UACGAAGGGUGCAAGCGUUACUCGGAAUUACUGGGCGUAAAGCGUGCGUAGGUGGUUUGUUAAGUCUGUUGUGAAAGCCCCGGGCUCAACCUGGGAAUGGCAUUUGGGACUGCAAGGCUGGAGUGCGGCAGAGGAGACUGGAAUUCCUGGUGUAGCAGUGAAAUGCGUAGAUAUCAGGAGGAAUACCGAUGGCGAAGGCAGGUCUCUGGGCUGACACUGACGCUCAUGCACGAAAGCGUGGGGAGCAAACGAGG
rnacentral:rRNA from 1 species